UACGGAGGGUGCAAGCGUUAUCCGGAUUCACUGGGUUUAAAGGGUGCGUAGGCGGGUAAGUAAGUCCUUGGUGAAAUCUCUGAGCUUAACUCAGAAACUGCCGUGGAUACUAUUUGCCUUGAAUAUUGUGGAGGUGAGCGGAAUAUGUCAUGUAGCGGUGAAAUGCUUAGAUAUGACAUAGAACACCAAUUGCGAAGGCAGCUCACUACACAAUCAUUGACGCUGAGGCACGAAAGCGUGGGGAUCAAACAGG
rnacentral:rRNA from 1 species